ACACACACACACACACACACACACACACACACACACACACACACACACACACACACACACACACACACACACACACACACACACACACAGGACUGGCACCUUUGGACGUAGGUCUGUCCCACCCAGGCUCCCUUCACCCAGACCGGACCAGGUCUCCUCCCCAGACCGGACCAGGUCUCUCACCCAGACCGGACCAGGUCUCCCACCCAGACCGGACCAGGUCUCCUCCCCAGACCGGACCAGGUCUCUCACCCAGACCGGACCAGGUCUCCUCCCCAGACCGGACCAGGUCUCCUCCCCAGACUGGGAUGGUUCUGGCCUGCCCAGUGAAAACACAACAUCAAUGUUUGGGGGAGACACAGAGAGAGAAGAGGCCAGGCCGAGUGCAUCCGCACGGCCUUUCACCCCAGCUGGCCCUGGCUCCGUCGGUGAGGUGCAUCAUGUUGACGGACAGAGCGUCUGUUUGGUCAUUUCCUUAUAUAUACGGGUCCAGGAGGACUACAGGUAGACUGCAGAGUGGAGGCCUACAGGCCUACUUAAAGCUCCUUGGAAAAACACACACGUUUCCCUAAAUAGAUUAAAUGUAGUGUGCGUGUCCGUUUGCCGGUGUGUGUGCGUGUCCUUUCUCCGUGUGUCCGUGUGUGUGCGCAUCCGUUUCUCUCUCUGUGUGUGUGUGUGUGUGUGUGUGUGUGUGUGUGUGUGUGUGUGUGUGUGUGGGGAUUGUAUUUUCCCACACAGCAACACAAUCACAGCGGAUCAAGAGGCUAGGCUCCC
ensembl:lncRNA